CUAGCCGUAAACGAUGGGUACUAGGUGUGGGUGGUUUCGAUACCAUCCGUGCCGUAGUUAACGCAUUAAGUACCCCGCCUGGGGAGUACGUGCGCAAGCAUGAAACUCAAAGGAAUUGACGGGGGCCCGCACAAGCGGUGGAGCAUGUGGUUUAAUUCGAAGCAACGCGAAGAACCUUACCAGGGCUUGACAUCCCCUGACCGCCAUGGAAACAUGGCUUCCCUUCGGGGCAGGGAGACAGGUGG
rnacentral:rRNA from 1 species